AUUGAACGCUGGCGGCAGGCCUAACACAUGCAAGUCGAGCGAGCGGCGGACGGGUGAGUAAUGUCUGGGAAACUGCCUGAUGGAGGGGGAUAACUACUGGAACCGGUAGCUAAUACCGCAUACCAUCAGAUGUUCCCAGAGGGGAUUAGCUAGUAGGUGGGGUCACGGCUCACCUGGGCGACGGUCCCUAGCUGGUCUGAGGGGAUGACCAGCCACACUGGAACUGAGACACGGUCCAGUCUCCUACGGGUGGCAGCAGUGGGGAAUAUUGCACAAUGGGCGCAAGCCUGAUGCAGCCAUGCCGCGUGUGUGAAGAAGGCCUUCGGGUUGUAAAGCACUUUCAGCGGGGAGGCGUUACCCGCAGAAGAAGCACCGGCUAACUCCGUGCCAGCCGCCGCGGUAAUUC
rnacentral:rRNA from 1 species